GAUGAACGCUGGCGGCGUGCCUAACACAUGCAAGUCGAGCGAUUUACUUCGGUAAAGAGCGGCGGACGGGUGAGUAACGCGUGGGUAACCUGCCCUGUACACACGGAUAACAUACCGAAAGGUAUGCUAAUACGAGAUAAUAUGCUUUUAUCGCAUGGUAGAAGUAUCAAAGCUUUUGCGGUACAGGAUGGACCCGCGUCUGAUUAGCUAGUUGGUGAGGUACGGCUCACCAAGGCGACGAUCAGUAGCCGACCUGAGAGGGUGAUCGGCCACAUUGGAACUGAGACACGGUCCAAACUCCUACGGGAGGCAGCAGUGGGGAAUAUUGCACAAUGGGCGAAAGCCUGAUGCAGCAACGCCGCGUGAGCGAUGAAGGCCUUCGGGUCGUAAAGCUCUGUCCUCAAGGAAGAUAAUGACGGUACUUGAGGAGGAAGCCCCGGCUAACUACGUG
rnacentral:rRNA from 1 species